rnacentral:tRNA from 1 species
GGGGAGGUAGCUUAGUGGGUAAAGCACUUGCCUAGCAUGCAUAGGGCCUAGGUUCAAUCCCAAGUUCUAGCCA